CGCCAUUCAGCAUUUAAUUUACAGCAUUUCGUGCUCAUCCCUACACUGUUGCUAUUGGGACUCGAUAUGUGAAUAAUAUGGCUGGGAUAGGGUGGCCUCAGAAUCAUCAUCUCUCUCAUUUCUCUUUGAAUAAUAUGGAAUUAAAAAAAAAAAAAAACAAAUUUUCAAAAAAAUCGAUCAUGGAUUAAAAAAAAAAUCACAAA
rnacentral:lncRNA from 1 species